rnacentral:rRNA from 1 species
GACGAACGCUGGCGGCGUGCCUAACACAUGCAAGUCGAGCGGGGAUUUAAGUGGAAGUUCUUCGGAAUGGAGAUUUAAAUUCUAGCGGCGGACGGGUGAGUAACGCGUGAACAAUCUGUCCCGGACAGGGGGAUAACACUUGGAAACAGGUGCUAAUACCGCAUAAGACCACGGCCUCGCAUGGGGCUGAGGUAAAAGGAGCAAUCCGGUUCGGGGUGAGGUCGCGUCCGAUUAGCUAGUUGGUGAGGUAACGGCCCACCAAGGCGACGAUCGGUAGCCGGCCUGAGCGGGUGAACGGCCACAUUGGAACUGAGAGACGGUCCAAACGCCUACGGGAGGCAGCAGUGGGGAAUAUUGGGCAAUGGGCGAAAGCCUGACCCAGCAACGCCGCGUGAGGGAAGAAGGUUUUCGGAUUGUAAACCUCUGUCCUAUGGGACGAAGGAAGUGACGGUACCAUAGGAGGAAGCCCCGGCUAACUACGUG